rnacentral:lncRNA from 1 species
GCGGUCUGGGCUCCCCCUCAUCAUAGUGCGCUUAUGUUUGACAACACGAUUAACGUGGGCUUAGAUGAAUUGGUGAGAAUAGCAAACGAAUAGCAAACGGUGUCUUUGGUGCGAUUAGCAAACGAAACGUAGUAUACGCGUACUUGCAA